CUACUAACAUCGGAAGGUGUUGGGAUGGGCCAUCAGAAGUCAGCCGAGGCCGUAGUAGUGCUGAAACCAACAGCAUGAAGGGC
rfam:Marine metagenome 471141, whole genome shotgun sequence.